rnacentral:rRNA from 1 species
GACAGAGGGUGCGAACGUUGCUCGGAAUUACUGGGCGUAAAGCGUGCGCAGGCGGCUUUGCAAGACAGAUGUGAAAUCCCCGGGCUCAACCUGGGAACUGCAUCUGUGACUGCAUGGCUAGAGUGCGGCAGAGGGGGAUGGAAUUCCGCGUGUAGCAGUGAAAUGCGUAGAUAUGCGGAGGAACACCGAUGGCGAAGGCAAUCCCCUGGGCCUGCACUGACGCUCAUGCACGAAAGCGUGGGGAGCAAACAGG